rnacentral:ncRNA from 1 species
UGUAACUUGACGGAGUACAGCCAAGCAGCUGUUGAGAUUGUUUUACUGUGAUAUUAUUGAAUGUAUUAUCAUAAAGUUAUAAACAAAUACCGUUGAACCUGAAGGUUAAGACCUGCGUAGGAAUCAAGUGAAUUAAAGAU